GAUGAACGCUGGCGGCGUGCCUAAUACAUGCAAGUCGUACGAAGGAGCUUGCUCCUUAGUGGCGAACGGGUGAGUAAUACAUAAAUAAUCUGCCCCAACGACUGGGAUAACUAUUGGAAACGAUAGCUAAUACCGGAUAGGUGAUCGGAAGACAUCUUCUGAUCAUUAAAGGUGCGUUCGCACCACGAUGGGAUGAGUUUAUGGCGCAUUAGUUAGUUGGCGGGGUAACGGCCCACCAAGACGAUGAUGCGUAGCCGAUCUGAGAGGAUGACCGGCCACACUGGGACUGAGACACGGCCCAGACUCCUACGGGAGGCAGCAGUAGGGAAUUUUCGGCAAUGGGCGAAAGCCUGACCGAGCAACGCCGCGUGAGUGAUGAAGGCCUUCGGGUUGUAAAGCUCUGUUGUAGAGGAAGAAAUGCCAGGAUAGGAAAUGAUCUUGGCUUGACGGUACUCUGCCAGAAAGCAACGGCUAACUACGUGCCAGCCGCCGCGGUAACAC
rnacentral:rRNA from 1 species